GUGUUUCAAUCGAUGUCUCUCAAUGGUUCUCUCUCCCCAUGCAUUCAAUUUCAAAUUUAACCAAAAUGAGGCUGUAAUUUCAGAAUUUGAUUGCAGUAUAUGGUGGCAGGAUGGUUGCACUUCGCAUUGUCCCGCUUCCAUGAGUGCAGUUAAGGAAAGAGUGACAACUUGAGAAAAUCUAAAAAUUUCCAAGUCAGUGACCUCUGGUACUCAAGAUGAAUGCAGCCUGAUUUGAACUUGACAUUUGUUCUGAGAAAGAAAUAGCAAACGUAGAGGAUGAACUUUGUAGAGUUGGACUUCAUACAUAAUUGCUGGCCAGCACCUUCAAUCAAACAUCAAAACAUGAGGUUCAGUGCAAUCUGCAUAAGUUUUCUGUACAUCUUUCAUAUGCAACUUUUUUGAUUUCAACCAUGUACAUAAAUGUUUCAUAUAAAUGCUCAAAUUCUCAAAUUUAAGGGUCUGUAUCAAGAUUUUGUUACUUGGGUAGUCUGGUGAGGAAUCUACUUUGAGGUCUCUGAGUAUAAUAUUUCUAUAAUUUAAAUACCGCAAAAUGUGUCCAUUAAUUAU